AACGAACGCUGGCGGCAGGCUUAACACAUGUAAGUCGAGCGCCCCGCAAGGGGAGCGGCAGACGGGUGAGUAACGCGUGGGAAUCUACCUUUUGCUACGGAAUAACUCAGGGAAACUUGUGCUAAUACCGUAUGUGCCCUUCGGGGGAAAGAUUUAUCGGCAAAGGAUGAGCCCGCGUUGGAUUAGCUAGUUGGUGAGGUAAAGGCUCACCAAGGCGACGAUCCAUAGCUGGUCUGAGAGGAUGAUCAGCCACACUGGGACUGAGACACGGCCCAGACUCCUACGGGAGGCAGCAGUGGGGAAUAUUGGACAAUGGGCGCAAGCCUGAUCCAGCCAUGCCGCGUGAGUGAUGAAGGCCCUAGGGUUGUAAAGCUCUUUCGACGGUGAAGAUAAUGACGGUAACCGUAGAAGAAGCCCCGGCUAACUUCGUGCCAGCAGCCGCGGUAAUACGAAGGGGGCUAGCGUUGUUCGGAAUUACUGGGCGUAAAGCGCACGUAGGCGGAUCGAUCAGUUAGGGGUGAAAUCCCAGGGCUCAACCCUGGAACUGCCUCUAAUACUGUCGAUCUCGAGUUCGAGAGAGGUGAGUGGAAUUCCGAGUGUAGAGGUGAAAUUCGUAGAUAUUCGGAGGAACACCAGUGGCGAAGGCGGCUCACUGGCUCGAUACUGACGCUGAGGUGCGAAAGCGUGGGGAGCAAACA
rnacentral:rRNA from 1 species